GCCGGAUGUAACUCACAUCAGUUUUGGCUGCCAUAUUGUUGUGUCACGUGACGAGGGAGUAGUGAGGUGAAUGCGCCGGGUCGAAUUCGUGACAAAGAGUUAAAAAUUUGGAUACCAUCGUUUACCAGGAAACCAAAUACAAGAUGGAUGUACGAAAAGUAACAGAAUUAUUACGAGCCACGAUCGACCCAGAGCAACAAAAGCAAGCUGAAGAGCAGCUAAAUCAGAUUCACAAAAUUAUUGGUUUUGCACCAACAUUACUUCAAGUACUAAUGACUGCUGAAGAAAUGUCUGUACGACAAGCUGGUGUUAUAUACUUGAAGAAUUUAAUUACAACAAAUUGGGCAGACAGAGAAAAUGAAAAUGGGUCAGUUAAGUUUACCAUUCAUGAACAAGAUCGUGCAAUGAUUCGUGAUGCAAUUGUUGAUGCUCUUGUACACGCACCAGAACUUAUUAGAGUACAAUUGGCUGUUUGUGUUAAUAAUAUAGUAAAACAUGAUUUUCCUGGGAGAUGGACACAAAUAGUAGACAAAAUCACAAUAUAUUUACAAAAUUCAGAUGCUUCUUGCUGGCCAGGUGUUCUUCUUGCACUUCAUCAACUUGUUAAAAAUUUUGAAUAUAAAAAGGCAGAAGAAAGAGGACCAUUAAAUGAAGCAAUGAAUCUUUUGUUUCCUAUGAUUUAUCAGUUGAUAUUACGGCUUUUACCAGAUUCUUCAGAACAAUCAGUAUUGCUACAAAAGCAGAUAUUAAAAAUAUUUUUUGCUCUUACACAGUAUACACUUCCCUUAGAUUUGAUUUCAAAAGAAGUUUUUUCACAAUGGAUGGAUGUAGUACGACAAGUAGCUGAUAGACCAGUUCCACCUGAAACUAAUAAUCCAGACUUGGAUGAUGAUGAACGAGCAGAAUUGCCAUGGUGGAAAUGUAAGAAGUGGGCUCUUCAUAUUUUACGCAGAAUGUUUGAAAGAUAUGGAAGUCCAGGAAAUGUGACUCAAGAGUACAAGGAGUUUUCUAGAUGGUAUUUGAGAACUUUCAGUGGUGGAAUACUUGAAGUCCUUUUAAAAAUUUUAGAUCAGUAUCGAAGAAAGAUAUAUGUAUCACCUAGAGUAAUUCAACAAUCAAUUAAUUAUAUUAAUCAAGGAGUAAGUCACGCUUAUUCGUGGAAAUUUUUAAAACCACAUAUGUUUGAAAUAAUUCGCGAUGUACUUUUUCCAAUACUCUCAUAUUCCGCUGCAGAUGAAGAACUUUGGAAUAACAAUCCAUAUGAAUAUAUUAGAGUGAAAUUUGACAUAUUUGAAGAUUUUGUAUCUCCAGUAACUGCUGCACAGACUUUAUUAUAUUCUGCGUGUAAGAAACGUAAGGAUAUGCUUCAGGAAACUAUGCAAUUCUGUAUGGAAGUUCUAACCAGUCCAAAUGCAGAUCCUAGACAAAAAGAUGGUGCAUUACAUAUGGUUGGAAGUUUAGCUGAUGUAUUAUUAAAGAAAAAAGUUUAUAAAGAACAAAUGGACAAAAUGUUAUUACAAUACGUUUUUCCUGAAUUUAAUAGUCCUCAUGGACAUAUGCGUGCAAGAGCAUGUUGGGUAUUACACUAUUUCUCGGAAAUAAAGUUUAAACAAGAACAAAUAUUAGUUGAAGCAGUUCGAUUAACGACAAAUGCUCUUCUAACGGACCAAGAUCUACCAGUUAAGGUAGAAGCUGCUAUUGCAUUGCAGAUGCUUCUUUCUGCUCAAGAAAAAGCACAAAAAUAUGUAGAACCUUUAAUUAAGCCUAUAACUCUCGAAUUAUUAGCUAUCGUGCGAGAAACAGAAAAUGAUGAUUUAACAACUGUUAUUCAAAAGAUUGUUUAUACCUAUUCAGAACAACUUAUGCCAAUUGCAGUUGAAAUUUGUCAACAUCUUGCUGCAACUUUUAGUCAAGUACUUGAAACAGAUGAAGGCAGUGAUGAAAAAGCUAUUACUGCUAUGGGAUUAUUAAAUACAAUAGAAACAUUAUUGAGUGUAAUGGAAAAUCAACCACAAAUUAUGGCACGAUUGCAACCGACAGUGCUUCAAGUUGUUGCCCAUAUUUUUGGAGAAAGUGUCAUGGAAUUUUAUGAAGAAGCUCUUUCAUUAGUUUAUGAUCUUACGGGAAAGACAAUUUCUGGAGAUAUGUGGAAAGUUUUAGAAUUAAUGUAUCAAUUAUUCCAGAAAGAUGGCUUUGAAUACUUUACUGAUAUGAUGCCUGCUCUUCAUAAUUAUAUUACAGUUGAUAGUCCUGCAUUUUUAUCCAAUGAAAAUCAUAUAUUAGCUAUGUUCAAUAUGUGCAAAGCUGUAUUAACAGGAGAUGCUGGAGAAGAUCCAGAAUGUCAUGCUGCUAAAUUAUUGGAAGUUAUAAUUUUACAAUGUAAAGGUCAUAUUGAUCAGUGUAUACCUUCAUUUGUGCAAUUGGUACUAGAACGUUUAAUGCGUGAAGUUAAAACAUCUGAAUUAAGAACAAUGUGUUUGCAAGUAGUAAUUGCAGCUCUUUAUUAUAAUCCAGCACUCUGCCUUGAAACAAUGGAUAGAUUACAAGGAAAUUUUAGACAAUCAACAGAACCAAUUGCUUCACAUUUUAUUAAACAAUGGAUACAUGAUACAGAUUGUUUCUUAGGAUUACAUGAUAGAAAACUGUGUGUUCUUGGGUUGUGUACAUUAAUUAGUAUGGGUCCUGCAAGACCACCAGCAGUGAAUGAAUGUGCUCAACAAAUCAUCCCAUCUCUGAUUUUACUUUUUGAUGGAUUAAAAAGAGCUUAUGCAGCUAAAGCAUCUGAUACUGAUGACGAAGAGAAUGAGGAAGAUGAUAGCGAUAUCGACGAAGAAGUUUUAUCAUCUGAUGAAGAUGAAAUUGACGAUGCUAGUCAAGAAUAUUUAGAAAAACUACAAGAAAAAGUGACUAGAUCAUCUACACAACAUGGUUUUAAUGUAUCGACAUCAAUCCAAGAUGGACAUGGUGAUCAUAGAUCAGAUGAUGAUGGAGAUGAUUCAGAAUAUGAUGCCAAUGAGGAAACUCCACUAGAAUGUUAUGCUACGCCUUUAGAUUCAGAUGACAUGAAUCAAGAUGAAUAUGUUGUUUUUAAAGAAGUAAUGCAAAAUAUUGAAAGAACAGACACAGUUUGGUAUAGAGCAUUAACUGGUCACUUAACUGCAGAACAACAAAAGGCAUUACAGGAAAUUAUCUUGUUAGCAGAUCAGCGUAAAGCAGCUCUUGAAAGUAAAAGAAUUGAACAGAGUGGCGGUUACGCUUUUCAUUCACAGACUGUACCUACAUCGUUCAAUUUUGGUGGAACGCUUUUGAGCCGAUAGACUCCCAAUCGUUUAUAUUUUUAGCUUAACUCGGUACAUACAACAAUGGUAGCAUCCUUUCGAGCGUUUGGAAAUCCAUUCCACGAUGGAAUCUGCGGAGAAGCACACUUCUUCUCAUAACAUAAUAAUAAAACAUUCCAGGGAAUAUGUUCUGAUCUUGAUUUCCAAAUCGUCGUGCUUCUUCGCCGAGUUCACGCCAAUCCAUCGUUCAACGCGAUCGAAUCUUUUUUUUUUGUAUGAGAAGGAAAAAGAUAUGUGUGAAAAUGAAAGUAUGAAAGAAUAAAAUAAAUAUGUGUGUGUGUAUCUGUAUGUUUGAAAAAGGAAAGGAAAUGAAAAAGAAAAUAGUUCGAUCGCUUUUGAAGCGCUCGAAAAAGUGCCUUCAACACGCUCGACGCGGAUGGGACCUUAAUUGGAGCAAAUUGGAUCGAGGCUAGGACGCUUCUCUAGUUUGUAAGUUUCCUAAACACUGUACUAAAAUAUAAUAAAUUAAUGCUAAUUAAAAAUGAAGAAUUCAAA
rnacentral:misc_RNA from 1 species